rnacentral:rRNA from 1 species
GUGAGGAAUAUUGGUCAAUGGGCGCAAGCCUGAACCAGCCAUCCCGCGUGCAGGAUGACGGCCCUAUGGGUUGUAAACUGCUUUUAUACACCAAGAAAAAACAGGACGUGUCCUGUCCCGACGGUAGUGUAUGAAUAAGCAUCGGCUAACUCCGUGCCAGCAGCCGCGGUAAUACGGAGGAUGCAAGCGUUAUCCGGAUUCAUUGGGUUUAAAGGGUGCGUAGGCGGCUUUUUAAGUCAGUGGUGAAAUCCUGUCGCUUAACGAUAGAAUUGCCAUUGAUACUGAAGAGCUUGAGUACAAUUGAGGUAAGCGGAAUGUGUAGUGUAGCGGUGAAAUGCUUAGAUAUUACACAGAACACCAAUUGCGAAGGCAGCUUACUAAACUGUCACUGACGCUGAUGCACGAAAGCGUGGGGAGCGAACAGGAUUAGAUACCCUUGUAGUCC